rnacentral:rRNA from 1 species
CCUACGGGAGGCUGCAGUGGGGGAUAUUGCACAAUGGGGGAAACCCUGAUGCAGCAACGCCGCGUGAGUGAAGAAGUAUUUCGGUAUGUAAAGCUCUAUCAGCAGGGAAGAGAAUGACGGUACCUGACUAAGAAGCCCCGGCUAACUACGGGCCAGCAGCCGCGGGAAUACGUAGGGGGCGAGCGUUAUCCGGAUUUACGGGGGGUAAAGGGAGGGUAGACGGCUGGUCAAGUCUGAAGUGAAAGCCCGGGGGUUAACCCCGGAAGGGCUUUGGAAACUGGGCAGCUAGAGUGCGGGAGAGGUAAGCGGAAUUCGUGGUGUAGCGGUGAAAUGCGUAGAUAUUAGGAGGAACACCAGUGGCGAAGGCGGCUUACUGGACAGUAACUGACGUUGAGGCUCGAAAGCGUGGGGAGCGAACAGGAUUAGAUACCCCUGUAGUC